AAGGCUUUAAGUUAAAAAAACUAGUAACCUUCAAAGCUAUCAAUAUAAGACAAAUCUUUUAAGCCUUA
rnacentral:tRNA from 1 species